CGGUAACAGCUCAAAUUUGAAAUCUGACCUUUCCGGGUCCGAGUUGUAAUUUGUAGAGGAUGUUUCGGAUAAGGCUUUGGUUUAAGUUUCUUGGAACAGAACGUCAUAGAGGGUGAGAAUCCCGUACGUGCCCGGUGGCCGCGCCCGUGUGAAGCUCUUUCGAC
rnacentral:rRNA from 1 species